rnacentral:rRNA from 1 species
UGUACCUACGGGACGCAGCAGUGGGGGAUAUUGCACAAUGGGGGGAACCCUGAUGCAGCGACGCCGCGUGGGUGAAGAAGCGCCUCGGCGCGUAAAGCCCUGUCAGCAGGGAAGAAAAUGACGGUACCUGAAGAAGAAGCCCCGGCUAACUACGUGCCAGCAGCCGCGGUAAUACGUAAGGGGCAAGCGUUAUCCGGAUUUACUGGGUGUAAAGGGGGCGCAGACGGCGAUGCAAGCCAGGAGUGAAAGCCCGGGGCCCACCCCCGGGACUGCUCUUGGACCUGCGUGGCUGGUGUGCAGGAGGG